AAAGAUAUUUGAACAAAAUUGGUCUGCACUUGAACAUGGUUAUCCCAGAUGUUUUUUGUAUUAUAAAUUCAUAACUAAGCUGCAUCAAUACCAUAUGUCCCAUAGUAAUCUAACACAGGAUGCCUUGUACCUCUUUUCGUUUUCUACAUAUAUAUUUUUUUUUAAUAAGACAUCUUGGAAUAGUCCUUCUGGUGAAUAAAGAUGACAGAGUGAUUCAAUGAAGUCAAUACAACUUCUUGUAGCAUGUAGUAAAGCAGAUUCUGAGGGAAAGAAAUAAAAGGAAAGUUAAUUAUAUAACAAAAAUGCAACACGUGGCUGAUAUAAUCCCUUAUCUGUAAUGUACUAUUACCUGACCUGGAUGCUCAGGUUGGAACAUGGUGAAGCAACAAGCCCAAAGUACAAGUCGUAGCAAAUGGAAAACCGCCUUUCUCAUUAAUCCAUCACAAAAUGUUGAUUAAUGCUGACUCUAGACCAGUCCAUUUCCACCACCUAUGUGAUGCCUCAGCUGAGAUGCAGCAGUUCAUAACUCUUAAAAUAAUAAUUAAAAAAAAAAAAGAAAAAAAAAGAGAAAAAAAAAAGAAAAUAGUUAAAAAAAAAGAAAAAAUAAAAAAGGUAUUGAUGCUUGGCAUCAUAAUCAGUUGGGUAUGUUUGUAAUGUGAAUUACAGUAUUUGUUUAGUACUUCCAAUUGUCUUCUGCUAGCAAUAUGUACAGUACUGUGUCAGGCUUGUGACAUUUGGGUAAAAAAAAAGUUCCUGUAAGUGAAUGAUUUUAGCUUUUAAAAGUAAUUGCAAUCAAGUUGAUUUAAUAAUUCAGUACAUCUGGACUGAUGUAUGAUUUAUAGAGGGAGCAGAUUUAUAGGGUCUUAAUAGAAUUCUAUAAUAAUAAUAACAAAAUAUACUUUGAAAACUAUAAAAGAAAAAUAGAAGUACUUUCCCAGGCUUAUAUUCUUGACCUUAUGAGGCACGCAGGGUUUAAUGGUUUCUUCUGUUAUUGUUUUUGCAAUCUUUUGUUUUUUUUUGCCUUAAGUAAUGAUAGAAGAUAUAUAUGGCUGGACACAUAUGUAUAAACUUUUCAGCAUUUUUAAUAAUAAAUAUCACAGUAUUUUCUAAUGCUUUGUGCAAAGAACUACGUGUUCAUCCUUUUUUUUUUUUUUUUUUUUUAAUAGAAAGUCUCUCGGAGGUACAUUUUCUGUCCCAUCUCCACUUCAUUAUCUAAUGUAAAUGAUGCCUUGAUACACAAUACAUGAAUAUUAAAAUAACAGAGGUUUUGCCGUUAAGUUAGCAUUGAGUUUUCAUGGCUUUUCUAGUUGUAUAAGGCUACCAGUAAAAGGAAGGAAACUGAGCAAAUGAAGACAUGAGAAUAAACUCCUUAUAUUUAUCAUCUGUAUGAACUGUAACUCCCUUCGAAGUAAUGAUUUAAUUGGUCUUCUAGUAUUUUCUGUAACACUGAAAAAGAACUUAGGUAAGCAGCUUCCCAUAUUAAUGUGUAAUUUAGCAGCUGAAAAAUAUAUCUUCCAGAUUAAGGUUCAAAAUGAUUCAGAAAAUCUAAUACAUCCAGUCUCCACAAGUAAAUAUACUUUUACUUUGUAUUUAAAAUUUAGGUAAAUGACAAGUUUUGUUAGAAAAAUAUGUCGGAGUAGCAAUAUAAAUUACUCAUAUAUGUUUAGGGGAUUUACAUAUAUUGCAGAUAUGUCAAUAUCAUUCUUCCUUCAAAAGUUGAGUAAGCAAAUAUAAUUUGUUCUUUUAUGCUAUUAAAUUCAUCAAUCAGGUUUCCCUUCACUGGAAAGGUACAUAGACAUUUUAGUAAUUUUGGCUGGGUAUUGUUUGCUUUCUGUAACUAUUCUAUUGAAUACAGGUACUAACAAUCAGGUUUCGUGAAUUUUGAGAGUAUUAUUGAAGAGUAUUUGCAAAAAGCAAAGUCUAAAUGAUUCAUAUCAGAUUUUUGAUAUGAAAACCAAACUUCCGAGAUACAAACAUAUUUUGUGCCUACUGACCUAAUCAAGCAGCUUGAAUUUUGAAUAUUCAAUUUGUAUAUAAAGCUUUUGCAAAUAAACUGCAGAUUUAGAGUUGUUCAGCAAAUAUGUUUUACUACAGGUAAACUGAAAUUUCACAGCUUGCUUAGAGAUAAUUCAUACACAAGAAAAGAGGCUAUAAUUGUGUCAUUUCUGUGAACUGUUCACCUUAAAUUGCUGGGUGAACUCAAUAAAUAACCUUUUUUUG
rnacentral:lncRNA from 1 species